rnacentral:ncRNA from 1 species
CGGGUGCGCAUUGCGCUUAAUAGAGAAGCAGGUGAAAUACCUGCGCUGUCCCGCAGCUGUAAUGCAGAGUCGACCUCAUAACGUCACUGGGAAACCGGGAAGGCGGGGAAGACGAGGAUGCAGAGCCAGAAGAACU